UACGGAGGGUGCAAGCGUUGUUCGGAAUUAUUGGGCGUAAAGCGCGUGUAGGCGGACCGUUAAGUCUGGUGUGAAAUCCCUCGGCUCAACUGAGGACGUGCAUCGGAUACUGGCGGCCUUGAGUCCUGGAGAGGGUAGCGGAAUUCCUGGUGUAGCGGUGAAAUGCGCAGAUAUCAGGAGGAACACCGAUGGCGAAGGCAGGUCUCUGGGCCACUACUGACGCUGAGAAGCGAAAGCAUGGGGAGCGAACAGG
rnacentral:rRNA from 1 species